AAACAGACUGUAACUGCCAGAGC
rnacentral:piRNA from 1 species